rnacentral:rRNA from 1 species
AAAUUGAAGAGUUUGAUCAUGGCUCAGAUUGAACGCUGGCGGCAGGCCUAACACAUGCAAGUCGAGCGGCAGCGGGAAAGUAGCUUGCUACUUUUGCCGGCGAGCGGCGGACGGGUGAGUAAUGCCUGGGGAUCUGCCCAGUCGAGGGGGAUAACUACUGGAAACGGUAGCUAAUACCGCAUACGCCCUACGGGGGAAAGCAGGGGACCUUCGGGCCUUGCGCGAUUGGAUGAGCCCAGGUGGGAUUAGCUAGUUGGUGAGGUAAUGGCUCACCAAGGCGACGAUCCCUAGCUGGUCUGAGAGGAUGAUCAGCCACACUGGAACUGAGACACGGUCCAGACUCCUACGGGAGGCAGCAGUGGGGAAUAUUGCACAAUGGGGGAAACCCUGAUGCAGCCAUGCCGCGUGUGUGAAGAAGGCCUUCGGGUUGUAAAGCACUUUCAGCGAGGAGGAAAGGUUGGUAGCUAAUAACUGCCAGCUGUGACGUUACUCGCAGAAGAAGCACCGGC